GGGCUACCCGCUGAGUUUAAGCAUAUAAAUAAGCGGAGGAGAAGAAACUUACAAGGAUUCCCUUAGUAACGGCGAAGCGAACCGGGAUCAGCCCAGCUUUUGAGAAUCGGGCGGCUGCAUCGCCUGAAUUGUAGUCCGGAGAAGCGCCCUCAGCGACGGACCGGGCCCAAGUCCCCCGAAAGGGGCGCGGGGGGGUGAGAGCCCCGUCCGGCUCGGACCCUGUCACACCACGAGGCGCCGUCGACGAAGUCGGGUUGUUUGGGAAUGCAGCCCCAAUCGGGCGGUAAAUUCCGUCCCAAGGCUAAAUAUGGGCGAGACCGAUAGCGAACAAGUACCGCGAGGGAAAGAUGAAAAAAGACUUUGAAAAGAGAGUCAAAGAGUGCUUGAAAUUGCCGGGAGGGAAGCGGAUGGGGGCGGCGAUGCACCUCGGUCGGAUGCGGAACGGCGGUUAGCCGGUCCCGCCGCCGGCUUUCGGGUGCGGAUCGAUGCAGGCUGCAUCGACGGCCGGCCCUGACGGAUCGUUCGCUUCGAGGGGAUACCGUCCGAUGCGGUCGAGGACAUGACGCCAUCGCCAUCGGCGUGCCCCCCGGGGGUACACGCGUCGCGACCUAGGCAUCGGCCAGUGGGCUCCCCAUCCCACCCGCCUUGAAACACGGACCAAAAGUCCGACAUGCAUGCGAAGUCGACCAAAAGCGAAAACCCGAAGGCACAAGGAAGCUAACGGGCGGAACCCUCUCGAGGGUUGCACCGGCCGACCCGACCCCGAUCUUCUGUGAAGGGUUCGAGUUGGAGCCCGCAUGUCGGGACCCGAAGAUGGUGAACUAUGCCCGAAGCGAGGCGGGCCGAGGAAACUUCGGUGGAGGCCCGCGAUCUUGGCCGACGCAAAUCGUUCGUCCGACUUGGGUAUAGGGGCGAAAAGACUAAUCGAACCAUCUAUUAGCUGGUUCCCUCUAAAGUUUCCCUCGGGAUAGCCGGAGCCCACGGCGAAGUUCUAUCGGGUAAAGCCAAUGAUUAGAGGCAUCGGGGCGCAACGCCCCUCGACCUAUUCUCAAACUUUAAAUAGGUAGGACGGCGCGGUGCUUUUUGAGCGUCAUGAAAUCGAGAGCUCCAAGUGGGCCAUUUUUGGUAAGCGUAACCGGUGAUGCGGGAUGAACCGUAGCCGGUUACGGUUGCCCAAUCAUGAAGCAACCCGCACACCACAAAGGGUGUUGGUCGAUUAAGACAGCAGGAUCGGUCAUGGAAGUCGAAAUCCGCUAAGGAGUGUAACAACUCACCCGCCAAUCAACUUGCCCCGAAAAUGGAUGGCGCUGAAGCGCCGACCCACCCGACCAUCGGGCGAGCGCCAAGCCCCGAUGAGUAGGGGAGGGCGCGUGGCGGUCGCCGCCAGAAACCCCAGGGCGCGAGCCCCGUCGUCGCAGAUCUUGGUGGUAGUAGCAAAUAUUCAAAUGUGAACUUUGAAGGUCUGAAGGGGGAAAGGUUCCAUGUGAACGGCACUUGCACAUGGGUUAGCCGAUCCCUAAGGGGACGGGGAAGCUCGUCCGAGAGCGUGUCUCCGCGUGAACUCCGAAAGGGAAUCGGGUUAAAAUUCCCGCGCCCGGACGCUUGACGGCGACGGCAACGUUAGGAAGUCCGGAGACGUCGGCGGGGGCUCGGAAGAGUUAUCUUUUCUGCUUAACGGCUCGCCCACCACUGAAACGGCUCACCGGGAGGUGGGGUCCAGCGGUCGGAAGAGCGCCGCCGCGUCAUCAUCGGCGUCCGGUCGCCCGCGGCCCUUGAAAAUCCGGAGGACCGAAAAGCCGCCCGCCCGGUCGUACUCAUAACCGCAUCGUCUCCAAGGUGAACGACCUCGCCCAUGGAACAAUGUAGGCAAGGGAAGUCGGCAAAAUGGAUCCGUAACCGGAAAAGGAUUGGCUCGAGGGUCGGGCACGGGGUCCCGCCCCCAACCCGUCGGCUGUCGGAUCGCUGAAUCGCUUCGAAAGUGCUCUCGCGGGCGAGCUGGGUCGCCGUCGGUGCGGCCGGGGGACGGAUCGGAAUGGCCCCCUCGGGGGCUUUCCCCGCAUCGAACAACCGACUCGAACUGGUACGGACAAGGGGAAUCCGAUCGUUUAAUUAAAACAAAGCAUUGCGAUGGUCCCGCGGAUGCUCACGCAAUGUGAUUUCUGCCGGUCUCAAAUGUCAAAGUGAAGAAAUUCAACCAAGCGGGUAAAUGGCGGAGUAACUAUGACUCUCUUAAGGUAGCCAAAUGCCUCGUCAUCUAAUUAGUGAUGCGCAUGAAUGGAUUAACGAGAUUCCCCUGUCCCCGCUCUACUAUCCAAAUAAACCACGCCCAAGGAACGGGCUUGGCGAAUCAGCGGGGAAAGAAGACCUGUUGAGCUUGACUCUAGUCCGACUUUGUGAAAUGACUUGAGAGGUGUAGGAUAAGUGGGAGCCGGUUCACGGCGGAAGUGAAAUACCACUACUUUUAACGUUAUUUUACUUAUUCCGUGAGUCGGGCGGGGGCCCGCCCCUCCUUUUGGACCCCAAGGCCGCCUUAGCGGGCCGAUCCGGCGAAAAGACAUUGUCGGUGGGGAGUUUGGCUGGGGCGCACAUCUGUUAAAAGAUAACGCAGGUGUCCUAAGAUGAGCUCAACGAGAACUGAAAUCUCGUGAAAAAAAAGGGUAAAAGCUCGUUUGAUUCUGAUUUCCGAUACGAAUAUGAACCGGAAAGCGUGACCUAUCGAUCCUUUAGACCUUCGAAUUUGAGGCUAGAGGUGUCGGAAAAGUUACCACUGGGAUAACUGGCUUGUGGCAGCCAAGCCGCUCAUAGCGACGUUGCUUUUGAUCCUUCGAUGUCGGCUCUUCCUAUCAUUGUGAAGCGAAUUCACCAAGUGUUGGAUUGUUCACCCACCAAUAGGGAACGGAGCUGGGUUUAGACCGUCCGUGAGAUAGGUUAGUUUUUUACCCUCACCGAUGAUCGUGUCGCGAUAGUAAUUCAACCUAGUACGAGAGGAACCGUUGAUUCACACAAUUGGUCAUCGCGCCGGUUGAAAAGCCGCUGGGCGCCGGUUACCGUGGUGUCGGAUUAUGACCAACGCCUCUAAGUCAGAAUCUUAGCUAGCAACCGGCGCUCUGCCCGUCGUUUAAGCCUCCCCGACCUACAGUAGGGGCCUUUGGCCCCAUGGGCUCGUGUCGCCGGUGUAGCCCUCGUGGUGGUAUGGCCACCCGCCAUCGGGAAGUGAAAUUCCGCAUGGACGACGGGCGAAUCCUUUGCGACGACUUAAAUACGCCGAUGGGGCAUUGUAAGUGGUAGAGUGGCCUUCCCGCCACGAUCCACCGAGAUCCAGCCCCUGCG
rnacentral:rRNA from 1 species